rnacentral:rRNA from 1 species
UGGGGAAUAUUGCACAAUGGGGGAAACCCGUGAUGCAGCAACGCCGCGUGAGUGAAGAAGUAUUUCGGUAUGUAAAGCUCUAUCAGCAGGGAAGAAAAAAGACGGUACCUGACUAAGAAGCCCCGGCUAACUACGUGCC